rnacentral:pre_miRNA from 1 species
AAAAUAAUGGUCACCCGAGGUGUAACAGCCACUCCGCUUCGCAUCAGCACCUCGGGUGUACAUUAUCAUCU